rnacentral:rRNA from 1 species
GACGAACGCUGGCGGCGUGCCUAACACAUGCAAGUCGAGCGAAGUGAUCUCGAAUGAAGUUUUCGGACGGAAUUCCUGAUCAUCUUAGCGGCGGACGGGUGAGUAACGCGUGAGAAACCUGCCUUUCACAAAGGGAUAGCCUCGGGAAACUGGGAUUAAUACCUUAUGACACUUUAACCUCGCAUGGGGAAUAAGUUAAAGCGUAAAGCGGUGGAAGAUGGUCUCGCGUCCUAUUAGCUAGUUGGUGAGGUAACGGCUCACCAAGGCGACGAUAGGUAGCCGGCCUGAGAGGGUGAACGGCCACACUGGAACUGAGACACGGUCCAGACUCCUACGGGAGGCAGCAGUGGGGAAUAUUGCACAAUGGAGGAAACUCUGAUGCAGCGACGCCGCGUGAAUGAUGAAGGCCUUCGGGUCGUAAAAUUCUGUCCUUGGGGAAGAUAAUGACGGUACCCAAGGAGGAAGCCCCGGCUAACUACGUGCCAGCAGCCGCGGUAAUACGUAGGGGGCGAGCGUUGUCCGGAAUUAUUGGGCGUAAAGGGUUCGCAGGCGGUCUGAUAAGUCAGAUGUGAAAGGCAAUGGCUCAACCAUUGUAAGCAUUUGAAACUGUCAGACUUGAGUUAAGGAGAGGAAAGUGGAAUUCCUAGUGUAGCGGUGAAAUGCGUAGAUAUUAGGUGGAAUACCAGUGGCGAAGGCGACUUUCUGGACUUAUACUGACGCUGAGGAACGAAAGCGUGGGGAGCAAACA